UACGGAGGGAGCUAGCGUUGUUCGGAAUUACUGGGCGUAAAGCGCACGUAGGCGGCUUUGUAAGUCAGAGGUGAAAGCCUGGAGCUCAACUCCAGAAUUGCCUUUGAGACUGCAUCGCUUGAAUCCAGGAGAGGUGAGUGGAAUUCCGAGUGUAGAGGUGAAAUUCGUAGAUAUUCGGAAGAACACCAGUGGCGAAGGCGGCUCGCUGGACUGGUAUUGACGCUGAGGCACGAAAGCGUGGGGAGCAAACAGG
rnacentral:rRNA from 1 species